CCUCUGCGCCUGGCCCGGCGACUGCGGGCGCUGCGGUCCACUGGGUCCGCCUCUUCCCGGCAUGGGUUUCUGCCCAGCUCACCCGCUGUCAGCUGGGGUCCUGCUCUGGUGGGAGGAAGAGGCUCAGACGCUUCCCUGCCCUCUCGCCUCAACCACCUCGAGGCAGCGGCUCCCAGGAUGUGCACUUUGACGACUAAAGCUGAGCCGGCGCCGCCACGACCUUGGGCGGGUGGUCGGCCUCUGCCCUGAGCAGGAAGUAGAAAGUCUCAGCAGACCCUUCCUGAGGGCCGAGCAACAGUGUAGUGGCGUAUUCCACAUAGCAAACAGAUGUACACUAGAUUUUGAUGGCAUUUUUCCAGGGACCCUGGGAGCAUCUGUGUUCUCGUGUUCUUCUUGCCUGUGAGGCCUCUUCUCUCUGAGGACAGAUGGUAGGACAGAGAGAAGACAGCAAAUGGAAAACAAAGGCUGCUAUUUUUUUGUGGGAGAAAAAGUCAUGUGAUGACACACCAAGAAGGUGGCUGUCUGCAAGCCAGGAAGAGAGGCCUUACCAGAAACCAAUCCUGGUGCACCUUAAUCUCAAACUUGAGCCUCCAGGACUGUACGAAAAUAAAUAUUUGUUGUGUAAGUCCCCCCAGUGUAUGCUAUUCUGUUAUGGCAGCCCUAGAACACUAAUAUAAAUGCCUACUGCCUGCAAAGUGCUUUGCCUUUGAGGGUUGCAAAAGAGGAUCCCCUCCAGGGAUCCAUGGUCUCAUUGGGAUUUUCCUGUUUGGUCUGUGUCCUGUUCUUGAGUCUCCGCAGGCAGCAUUUCUUCCUGUGACAAUAUGGUGUAAGACAAAAUUGUGGCCUGCCAUGAAGUUGUGAGAGAAAAGCAUCCCUCAUUUCUUCAGGAAAGGCCACUGCCGUUCCCUCCGGCUCCUCUUCUCAGGAGUUUGUGCAUCCAUGAGGUCCCCAGACAAUCCCGGUGUGCACACUUCCCUGCUUCUGUUCAUGAUGUUCUCUGAACCUGGGAUCACCUUUCCCCUUCCUCUUACCUGCCUGAUCCUACUUGUCCUCCCAGAUUCAGUUUUCUGAAGCUCAGACGGACACCUUGUAUUGCUGGAUGAUAAAAACAGGAGCAAAGUGAUGAAAUGCUGACAAGCCAACAAUAGAACAUGAGAGAUUCACUGCUGUGUAGGAAGAGAUCUUCAGUGACCAUGUAGCCUGAAGCUCUCAUUUUGUCAUCGAGGGACACCAAAACUCAGAACAGGUGUUGUUCCUGAGCACUGGCUUCAAAAACCUUGCUGCUCAUUUAUCUUGUCUCACGGUGGUCUCCCAGGGAACCAACCAAAGAGGAGGAGGAGGAGAAUAGUGGUGGGGUGAUACUGUGAUUGAAGUAAACAACAGAAAUGGAAAGAAGACUAAGAAGCCAUGUGUCAUUGUGGAUUAUCACGAGAAUGUGGGAGCAGUGGACUGGCUGAUCAGAUGCUCACUUCCUAUCCAACUGAGCACAAAAGGCACAAGUGCUAAGCUCCUACAUCCUGUUCUAGAAGGACAAUCCUGAGCACACGAUGAGCCAUAUAAACUUCAGACUGACGCUGAGUGAAAGAAUGCUGGAAAAGCAUCACAGGCCAGGGCAGCAAAGUCUUCAAGGUCAUCCAUGCUCUGAUGAUGUCACGCUUCUUCCCUGUCUGGAAGACAUUUCCCCAAGAGCAUACCACCAACAUCAGGGAAAUGGAAUCCAACUGGUCGCUGCAAAGUUUGCUGAGCACACAAUGAUAAAGAUGGCAAGAAGGUCCUGAGAGAAACGCAAUAUUUUUGUGCAGAAUGGGAUGUUCUGCCUUUGUCCCAUGCUUUGAAAUUUACCACAUGAAAAAUAAAAUUAAAUACUGAUCAUCAUAUACGUUUCUGUUAUAUUAGGAUUAGAGACAAGUUCUGUUUAGAAAUAACUCCAAGAACAGUUUUUAUAUUUUGUUUUCACAUUGAAAAGUCAGUCAGAUUUGCUUUAGCUUCAAGGAGCAUGUUUAUGUAAAAUUAAAUGAGCGCUGGCAGUGAGCUAGCUGCAGAUUUUUUUUUUUUUCUAAAUGGGAUAUAGGACAGAAAGAUGCGUUCGUGGCCAUGACCAGGCUCUGGGUACUUUACAAAUGCCCAGUGGCUGGGCAUGGAAGGAAUACAUUGCUGGGGGAAGUUAAAACCUAGGGCUUUCUCACCUGUUGUCUUCUUGUUCCCGUAAGUCCAGCAAUGGCUCAAACCAAUAGUGUAGCCAAAAAACAAAAGGCCCUGAUAAGGAAAGCCAGGGGUUGGGGGACACCUCAGAAAAACAGAGCAGGGGAGGUCAGAAGACCUUGGAGGCAGAAAUUCUGUAGGAUACUGACAAGGGGCCAAACUGGCAGCCAAGAGAGGUAGCUGAGGCUCUGAGAGACAAGGCAGAUGGAGCCCCUGAGCCUGGGGGGCCCUGGCUCUUCUCUAUUAAAUAUUCCUCCAAGAAAGCAACUGAUAAAGGGAGGUCAGGAGUGGCCACAGAAAAGACAAAGGCUGGGCCUAAGACCGAAGUUCCUACAGUCAACAUGGUGACUUCUGCCAACCCACUGGAAUGUCUGGAAGAAAUAAAGGCCCUAGUCAGGAAUCAGGCAUCUGAUUGGAGAUAUGAUCUGAUAUGCAGAGGCCAGAUGAUACUGUCCCUGGCAGGGGAGAGUGGUGACCGCCCAAUAGACGUCCCACACGCUUCUUUUGGCCAACUGGUAAGGGAGAAUGCUGUGGUUAACAGGAGGAUCUCUCCAACCCUGGGAGAGGGUCUGGGAAGCAUGAACAGAACAGGUGGAGGUGAGUGGGUCCCACCAAAGAUGGGCAGCAAAGGCCCUGGGGCUACCUCAGUGGGAUCUGCCAUUAAACAUCUCUGGGACUCUUUCUGUAUAUCUUGAAGGUGGAAGCUAAGUCUCUGAACACCCACUGCGGACAGCAGUGAGAACCACCACCUGGGGUGAGCUACCUUCAUCUCUAGUGGUGGCAUAAAGUCUGAGGAAGAUUGGAGACCCAGAAAGAAGGAAAGAGAAAUUGGAGAAGAAUUCCUCCUUCUGGUCCUAAAACUCUGAACUGGGAGAGAGACAGGCUAUGGGAGAAGAUUGAGAUGGAUUAGAGAAUUCCUCUUAAGGACCUCUUCCCUAGCCCCAACCCCAAACAUGGAAAGAAAGGAAGAUCCUGAGUUCCUUCAAGGGAAAUUCUAGGCACCUAGCUAGUUCUGAGAAGUAAAUAAGCAACUUGAAAAGCAAGAAUGUAACAGUAGCUUAAAACAAUAGCCAGGGAAGCUAGACUCACAGAAUGUUUCGUUCCCCUACAAAAACUAAAGAUAACAUCUUACCAUGUCUCUGAGUUGCUUCUCAGAAACUGGGACCCCCCACCACAUGGAUCUUCUUGCAUGUAGACCUCAGAUAAGGGGGAAUUGGGGACUGAACUCAGCACUGUUCUUUGUUCUAAAUUUCUUUCUGAGAGGCCUGGAGGAAGUCAUAACCAACCAGAGUAACAUUCUUUUGCACUGACCCCAAAUUUUUAAACAAAACUUCUCUUCUUUAACCAAUUACAGAAAAUCUUUGAAUCUAACUAUGACCUGUGAGCCCCCUGCUUCAAGAUAUCCCAUCCUUUUCGGCCAAAAUCAAUAUGCGGGUGUUCAGAGACUUAGCUAAAUCAGUAUUGAUUUGUGGUUUUGUCUGUAACUUCUGCUUUCCUGAAAUUUAUGCCUGCCUUUAAAAAUCUUUACCUACAAGCCAUAUGGGGAAGGCUGGGACUUAAGCAUUAGCUGCUCAAUCCUCCUUGCCUGGCACCCUGCAAAUAAAUACCUUCCUUUUUCCUGCUACGAACCUUGGUGUGGGUAUCUGGUCUUACUGUGCUGAGCCAAUGGACCCCAGUUUGGUUCUGUAACAAGAUAAUGGUUAUUUUCACACUUACAUAGUAGAGAGCCUCACUGCCUUAGGAGCAGAUACUCCUGAGGCAAGGCAGAUCCCAAAGAUGCUAGGAUAAACUAGCUGAGUUUGUCUAGGAUAUGCCACAUACAUGGCACCCAGAGAAUCCUACCUUGUCCUAUAAGAUGCAUAAAGAUGGGCUCAAAUACCAAUUCAAAGACCUGUGGACAAGAAAAAUCACCCCUACAAUAUCCACAAAUUCUAAAAAGACUUGCUUGUUGUCAGCCUUGGCUUUUGAGUUCCUGCUUCCACUGAAUUAGUUCAGUUUCUGACUCAGCUCUUCAGUCUGUAGAUGUUGUCUUUGUUUUACAUCAAAGUGACCCACAUGUGGGACUUGGCCUAUGCACUUGACUUCCACUAAAAAAGCCACUCGUACUCAAUGUGAAUGCCUGUAAAGCAGACUGUCCUGAAGGGGUUAGGAAGCUGUGGAGAUAGUUACAUCAGAACAGAGCAAAUGACUUUGGAAUCUGAAGCAGACCUCCUUGUUCUUAGCAGUUUUUUGGCCUCUCAACCACGUGGCUUGCCAUCUUUCUUCUUUCUCCAUCACCCUCCCAAUAAAUCUUUUCUGUUCAAGUUCCAUUGAAUUCUAAUUCAGAAAAGUUUAAUUAUCUUCUAAUGAGCUUGUCUUCAGCUAAGUCAUGAUUCAGGGUCUCACCUUCUAACCCCAGAUGUUUAUCAGGGUCUUUUCUUUAACAAAGACAGUCCUCUCUGAGAAGAGGGUUAUAAUUUUUUUCACUCCAUUAAGCCUGAAUGAAGGUUGACUACAGAAGAGAAAGGAUGCUGCUUUUCUUUGCUGACCUGGGAGAAGAUAGACUUUUUUAGCCCCUGUGAAAUCUGUGAAGGUGGUUCAAGAAGCAAAGAUUGAAAGAUGAGGUCUUCACCCUUCCUCUACCUGGAGAAGUUUUCCUUGUGCUGGUGAGAGAAGACAUGUGCUUACUUUAUCUUCUCCAAAGAGCAGGGAAUGACUUUGAACUUGAGGUGGGUGCUUUUUCCAGAGCAGAUGCUAAUCAAAGCAGCCAACCCUAGUUCUGGAAGUCAUCCUUGACAAGGCAUUUCUUUUAGUAAAAUUCAAACAAAAUUUAAACCUUCACUAAGAAAAGGAAACGGAGUGGUUCAGAGUUAUUGCUAUGACUAGUGUCUUGCUAAGCUACCCUAGAAAAAGGGAAAUGGACCACCUGUCCCCUCCAUUCUUUGCCCACUCUAGGAAAUACACGGAAGAAUAGAAAGGACUUAACAGUUGUUUACUGGCCAGUCUCUGUACUGAAUACUUUGGAUAUAUGAUCAAUCUAAUCUUCCGAGAGAAGAAUCUUCAAAAUUUCUCCAAGACAUUUGUCCCCAUUAUAUGUGUGAAAGGAAAAUAAAAACUCAGGAUCUCAAUUCACUAUGCCAAAGGAAAAAAAAUUAAGCUAAAAGCUGAGUCAUGCAAGAAGCUGCCUUUCUUUUUGUUUCUGAGCAGAUAGCUGCAGAUAAGAGGUUAAAUAUCUCCAUACGCAGUUAGUCUAUGUUCACUUUAUCUUAUGAAAAGUGCCAAUUUACUGAGCACAAGAUGAAUACAUAAUUGACUAUUCCUCUACCUGCUCCUUUUCUCUUGCAAUAUAGGGAUUACCAUACCCUUCCUCUUUCCCCUCCAGUCCACUUUUUCCCUUUAAAUAUUGAUGUCCUCAAAAUCAUCUUCGGAGAAAGGCACAGACCACAGACUAUUUCUGUGGCUCUGUCUUUAUUUAUUCUGGGCAUGUCCUUAACCUUGACAAAAUAAACUUUUAAAUUGAUUGAGACCUGUCUCAGAUACUUUUUGGCUUACAAAUUGGCGGCCGAUGGAAGGGACUCUGAGAGGAGGUGCCCCUGACUUUUGACAAAUCUCUUACCAGUACUUGGUACCAGCUUAGGUUAUCUUUGUUGCUCAAAGAUAAGACAAUUUUCUGAGGUCUGGGAGCUCCUCCCUCUGGAGAAUCCCUGAUCACCCCAAAUUUGGUUGAGAUCUAAGGUUUAUUUUGAAGUACAACUCCUUUUCUGGAGUUUUACUCACUUCCAACAAAACAGGCGAGUUUUCCUGUUUCCAUGACAAUGGAUGGCAGGCAACUCCUUUCUGGAGUUUCAGCUUGUAUCCAACAGGGAAGGUGAGUUUGAGUCUUUUACUGCUUCUAAAAUGGUAGAGAGGAGUAUUGAGCCUGGGCGCCACUCCUAGGUAAGUAGCUGAAUUGAAGUUUUGUCUUGAAAAUCCUGCUUAAUGACUAAGAGUUAAGAUUGACAACCAGCUGAUCUUAAUUUCCUUUUAACACUAAAGUGCUCAGUAAUCGCAUUGGUUUUGUUGUUGUUGUUGUUGUUUUGUUGUUUCCUUAUUAUUUUAGUCUUUCUCACAUUGGAUUCGACCAACUCUACUUUACUUGGUCAAAUCCAAAUGAGAAUUUCAAGUUAUGGUGAACAAUGUUUUUGAAUUGGCUAAAACUCCUCACAGCUGCAAAAAAGAAGAAAAAAGCAUACGCUUGGUUUCGUUAGCAGCAGCAAAUCUAUAUGAGUAUGCAGCAACUUGAUUCUUGCCUCCUCAGAGGAAAGAAUUCGUCUGAGGGGCAUAAGGCAGAAUGAGAGACCACGGCAAGUUAUAAAGCAAGAGUGAAAGUUUAUUAAAAAGUAUUAGAGCAGGAAUGAAAGGAAGUAAAGUACGCUUGGAAGAGGGCCAAGAGGACAACUUGAGAGAUCCAAAUGUAAACUUGGGUUUUUUUAUGUUGGCAUGCUUCCGGGCUCUUGUGUCUCUUCUGCCCUGAUUCUUCCUUUGGGAUGGGACGUCCACAUGUGCAGCGGCCUCCCAGAACUUGGGAGGGGCCCCAGGCACAGUGUGUUUGCCGAAGUUUUGCGCAUGCUCACUUGAGGCGUUGUUCCCUUACCAGUAGAGUGUUCCUAGAGGAAGGUCAUAUCCCAGCUAAACUCUGCCAUUUUGCCUCUUAGCAUGCGCAUGCUUGACUCCACUCGCCCAGCUCCUGAGAUCUUAUUGAUAGCAGCUGAUCACCAGCUUCAGGUGUUUUCUAUCUAUUGGGAGACCACCGUUCCCUGCUGCUGGCUUCGACCAAUUGUUUUGGACAGACAGUUUAAUAACUGCCUGACCAUCACUUGACAGUCUCCUGGCAGUCCUGGUUGAGGGGUAGGGCACUGCCCUGCCUUGCUUAUGUCUGCCUACCUACCUACUCAAACAGGUUCUCUGUUCACUUCCUUUCUUAAAAGAUUGUUCUUUUGUUUACUUUUCUUCCAUUCUAUUCCUCCUUCCCCCUUUGCCAUCUUUGGUACCAAGCAAAUUCAAAACAAAACAAAACAUAGAGAAGGCUUCUAAUCAAACCCAUUAAAGAACUCAGAAUAAAGGUGCCACUCACCCUUUUUCGGGGUGUCCUGCUUUCUUUGUGGAGUUUCAAAAGUCACGGGCAGAUUUUUCUCAGGUCUAAAGCUCUGCUUUCUUGUAUUGCAUUACCUGAUGUCUUUGUCUUUGGUGGGGGUACCAGAGAUUACCUUGUACUAUGAGAGAAUUUGGCCUUGGUGUGUGUAAUGGUGGCAGAGAACCACAAUCUUAGGGAUGGCUAAGGACAGUUUAUAGGAAAUGGUCAUUACUACAGGGGGCUACUUAUUUCUUUGUACAUUUAAAUUAAGAAAAUUGUGCAGGCUUUCUUGGCCCUAUUCCUUAAAGGGAUCUACCAUAAAGCUAGUAAUCUAAUCAAGCUAAAUUGAAAAUAACACCUAUCAAAUUGAGUCACUUUAAUAAAAUUCUUUGCAAAGGAAAUUUACAUCUUUACAGGAAAUCUCCACUUAGUAAGAGCUUCUGGGUCCCUACAAUGGCUUGAAGUUCACAUAACAGACAUUGCCUUUGUUUAGAUCUAAGCGUGUGCCUUUGAGAUGUACAUUUUCUACAUUGUUUCACCUAAGUCAUGUCUUUGGGAUGCAAAUUUACAGUUGCCUCAUUAACAAUUGUUCAGGACAUAGAACAGAUAAUCAUGAGAUUAACAGUCUAAAAUAGAGAAAAGUUUUGAAAACAGGCAAAUGAGAACUUUUAAAUCUGUAAGAUCUGCCUCUGUCUGGGUGUCUAUUAUGUCUAUAUGUUCCUAUGUCUCAAGUGGAAAUAAUAUUUCACUAUCAAUUAUGUGAAAGAGCUCUAAUUAAUUGGCUUAAAGAAAAGUCAGUGUUCAUCAACUUAGUAGAAGCUAGCUCAGAGGCUUUUCAGUUCACAUGACUUUAGUAAUCUUUGGUAAGAUUAAUUUGGUAAAUUUUGUCUCAAAAUCCUCUCCAAUAAUUUAAAAUCUUAAAGUCAUGUUAAGUUAAAUUAAGUAAUCCUAGGUUUUUUACUGGGAAUUAGAGUUACUAAAAGUUAGAUUAGUAGGAUAGUAUGAUGUGUUUUUGGGGAAGUUUAUAAAAACAUGAGGAUGUGGUUUUUGCUUAAGAAAAUGUAAAUUUUUUUCUAGUUCAGAGGACCUUUCUACUGAUGUUGAGAGAAAAACCGUGUUCGCAUCCACCUGUUUUUUGGUAAACUGGUUAAGUUUGUAUUGGUAUCUCAUGGCUAGAGUUCUGAAGUAAAAGCUAUAGGAUCUUUAUUUGUAUGAGUGUGUGUGGGCUUAGGUGUGUUUAUGUAUACCUACAUGUGUAUUGUUAUGUUUAUGGCCACAAGGUACCAAACUGGCUUAAAAAUAAAGGAGAACUCACAAAUUCAGUAAAUAAGCCCAGUUGCUUUUCAAGUUAAUGUGACUUAAAUAGAGUUUUAAUAAAUAAACUGGCUUUAAAAUUAUUGGUAAAAUAAAAUUAGAAAUGUCUUCAGAAUCGCCAACAUACAUUAUUGUUUAGAUUUAUUGGUCAAGCAAUUUUAUAUUUUUUUCUCUUAAAUACUAUAAGGUGUCAAGAUUUGGCACGAGGGUUGUAAAGCUAUAAAUGUAGCCCAAAAGAGAAUUAUCUUUGUGUAACUUUUCGAUAAAUAAAGCAUUUAAUAUUGUUGGUUUAAUGAAAA